AAGUGCUGUUAGCUUGCAUGCACCCAUUCAUAUAAUAGGGGAAAGUCCAGAUACAAAUUCAAUGGAAAAUGUGAGUAAGCAAAAUAUUUGUAAUGAGGUGGUUUUAGUAUUCGUGCCAAGACAAAUCAGAGAAGGGAAAAAACACACAUCUUGAGAAUAUUUCCUCUCAUGACAAAGAUGUGACCAUAUAAGCACAUGGUUUGAAACAGGAACAGCACAUCUGAACAAGCAGUGAAUACCCUGCACCUUCACCCACCAUUAGAGUUCAGGAGGUACCAGUACAGCAAGUUUUUUCCUAUAUUUAUCCCCAGAAAUCUGUCCAGAUACAACCAUAGGUUAUUUGUCCCAUUUUCUUUUUUCAUUCUUCCUGACCUGAAGCGGCUGUUCUUUCGAGUUUGUGAAGCAAGGUUGCAAGAACCUUUACCUGGACAUACCUAAAUGUGGAAAAUGAAGAUUCAAGCUCCUGAUCCGAUCUUUCAGGCAAGGAUUGUCCCUCAGUUAUACUUGUUCAGUGUCCAGCUUCAUGAGGGAGGUGUGAAUGUGCAUCCACUGAGAUACAGCUGUGCAGCUAAUGAUUGGUGUUGGGCUAGUAGCUGAAACUAUAAAGGUAAAUAAGAGUUGAGAUGAAAUCAAGUUUACAGGUUUUCAUUUUCUACGCUGAAACAAAAUACAGAAAAAAAAAUAUUUAGCAGGAUGCUUCCAUUUACUGAAAUAGGAACAUAUUUAGUGAAAGGAGUAAUGAAGGGAAAAGAAGUGCAGAUAGACUCGCAGAACUGGAAGCACAGCCAAGACGAUCUGAACAGAAGCUCAGCGACCUAAGGACGCAGCCAAGGUAAGCCGGGUUCCUUAGUGUCCUAUGUUGGUGAUCCACAUUUGCUACAUUCUUCAGAGGAAAGGUCAUAUACUCUCAUUGCCACACUUUGUAGGUUAGACACCACCGUUUUGUGGUGUCUAUAAAAUUGCAGCUGAAGUUUUUCUAUGCAUGGAACAUUUACAGCCACUUUCUCCUAUGCAGAUUUAAGUCCUGUAGUAUAUUAGUAGACUCUUUUUAUCUAGCUACCUAUUUCUGG
rnacentral:lncRNA from 1 species